GAGUUUGAUCCUGGCUCAGAUUGAACGCUGGCGGUAGGCCUAACACAUGCAAGUCGAACGGUAACGGACCGCUGGGAUUCCUUCGGGAUGACCUUGGUGCCGACGAGUGGCGGACGGGUGAGUAACACGUAGGAAUCUGCCCAACAGAGGGGGAUAACCCGGAGAAAUCCGGGCUAAUACCGCAUACGCCCCAAGGGGGAAAGCGGGGGAUCUUCGGACCUCGUGCUGUUGGAGGAGCCUGCGUCGGAUUAGCUUGUUGGUGAGGUAAUGGCUCACCAAGGCAACGAUCCGUAGCUGGUCUGAGAGGAUGAUCAGCCACACUGGGACUGAGACACGGCCCAGACUCCUACGGGAGGCAGCAGUGGGGAAUAUUGCGCAAUGGGCGAAAGCCUGACGCAGCCAUGCCGCGUGUGUGAAGAAGGCCUUAGGGUUGUAAAGCACUUUCAAUUGGGAAGAAAAGUUUGUCGUUAAUAGCGCCAAGCUCUGACAUUACCUUUAGAAGAAGCACCGGCUAACUCCGUGCCAGCAGCCGCGGUAAUACGGAGGGUGCGAGCGUUAAUCGGAAUUACUGGGCGUAAAGCGCGCGUAGGCGGUUUGUUAAGUCAGCUGUGAAAGCCCCGGGCUCAACCUGGGAACUGCAGUUGAUACUGGCCGACUAGAGUACGAGAGAGGGAGGUAGAAUUCCAUGUGUAGCGGUGAAAUGCGUAGAUAUAUGGAGGAAUACCAGUGGCGAAGGCGGCCUCCUGGCUCGAUACUGACGCUGAGGUGCGAAAGCGUGGGGAUCAAACAGGAUUAGAUACCSUGGUAGUCCACGCCGUAAACGAUGUCUACUAGCCGUUGGGAGACUUGAUWUCUUAGUGGCGCAGCUAACGCAAUAAGUAGACCGCCUGGGGAGUACGGCCGCAAGGUUAAAACUCAAAUGAAUUGACGGGGGCCCGCACAAGCGGUGGAGCAUGUGGUUUAAUUCGAUGCAACGCGAAGAACCUUACCAGGUCUUGACAUCCUGCGAAUUUUCUAGAGAUAGAUUAGUGCCUUCGGGAACGCAGUGACAGGUGCUGCAUGGCUGUCGUCAGCUCGUGUCGUGAGAUGUUGGGUUAAGUCCCGUAACGAGCGCAACCCUUGUCCUUAGUUGCCAGCACAUAAUGGUGGGAACUCUAAGGAGACUGCCGGUGACAAACCGGAGGAAGGUGGGGACGACGUCAAGUCAUCAUGGCCCUUACGACCUGGGCUACACACGUGCUACAAUGGAACGCACAGAGGGCUGCAAAGGCGCGAGCUGGAGCGAAUCCCACAAAACGUUUCGUAGUCCGGAUUGGAGUCUGCAACUCGACUCCAUGAAGUCGGAAUCGCUAGUAAUCGUGAAUCAGAAUGUCACGGUGAAUACGUUCCCGGGCCUUGUACACACCGCCCGUCACACCAUGGGAGUGGGUUGCAAAAGAAGUGGGUAGACUAACCUUCGGGAGGUCGCUCACCACUUUGUGAUUCAUGACUGGGGUGAAGUCGUAACAAGGUAGCCCUAGGGGAACCUGGGGCUGGAUCACCUCCUUUCU
rnacentral:rRNA from 1 species